CAGCAGCCACGGGAAUACGAAGGGUGCAAGCGUUAAUCGGAAUUACUGGGCGUAAAGCGUGCGUAGGCGGUUUGUUAAGUCUGUUGUGAAAUCCCCGGGCUCAACCUGGGAAUGGCAAUGGAUACUGGCAAGCUAGAGUGUGUCAGAGGAUGGUGGAAUUCCCGGUGUAGCGGUGAAAUGCGUAGAGAUCGGGAGGAACAUCAGUGGCGAAGGCGGCCAUCUGGGACAACACUGACGCUGGGGCACGAAAGCGUGGGGAGCAAACAGGAUUAGAUACCCGCGUAGUCCCUGUCUCUUAUAC
rnacentral:rRNA from 1 species